AUUGAACGCUGGCGGCAGGCCUAACAAAUGCCCGUCGAACGAGUGGCGAACGGGUGAGUAAUGUCUGGGAAAAUGCCAGAUGGAGGGGGAUAACGACUGGAAACGGUAGCUAAUACCGCAUACCAUCAGAUGUGCCCAGAUGGGAUUAGCGAGUAGGUGGGGUAAUGGCUCCCCUAGGCGACGAUACCUAGCUGGUCUGAGAGGAUGACCAGCCACACUGGAACUGAGACACGGUCCAGACGCCUACGGGAGGCAACAGUGGGGAAUGUAGCACAAUUGGCGGAAGCCUGAUGCGGCCAUCCCGCGUGUGGGAAGAAGGCCUACGGGUUGUAAAGCACUUUCAGCGAGGAGGCGUUGCUCGCAGAAGAAGCACCGGCUAACUCCGUGCCAGCAGCCGCGGUAAUAC
rnacentral:rRNA from 1 species